GUGGGGAAUAUUGGACAAUGGGCGCAAGCCUGAUCCAGCCAUACCGCGUGGGUGAAGAAGGCCUUCGGGUUGUAAAGCCCUUUUGUUGGGAAAGAAAUCCUGUCGGUUAAUACCUGGCGGGGAUGACGGUACCCAAAGAAUAAGCACCGGCUAACUUCGUGCCAGCAGCCGCGGUAAUACGAAGGGUGCAAGCGUUACUCGGAAUUACUGGGCGUAAAGCGUGCGUAGGAGGUGGUUUAAGUCCGUUGUGAAAGCCCUGGGCUCAACCUGGGAAUUGCAGUGGAUACUGGAUCACUAGAGUGUGGUAGAGGGAUGCGGAAUUUCUGGUGUAGCAGUGAAAUGCGUAGAGAUCAGAAGGAACAUCCGUGGCGAAGGCGGCAUCCUGGGCCAACACUGACACUGAGGCACGAAAGCGUGGGGAGCAAACAGGAUUAGAUACCCCUGUAGUCC
rnacentral:rRNA from 1 species